rnacentral:rRNA from 1 species
UACGAAGGGGGCUAGCGUUGUUCGGAUUUACUGGGCGUAAAGCGCACGUAGGCGGCUUUGUAAGUUAGAGGUGAAAGCCCGGGGCUCAACUCCGGAAUUGCCUUUAAGACUGCAUCGCUAGAGUUGUGGAGAGGUAAGUGGAAUUCCGAGUGUAGAGGUGAAAUUCGUAGAUAUUCGGAAGAACACCAGUGGCGAAGGCGACUUACUGGACACAUACUGACGCUGAGGUGUGAAAGCGUGGGGAGCAAACAGG